CUACCCCAGGUGGUGGAUAACCUUCCGAAAGGAAGGCUAAUACAGCAUGGGACCACGACUUCGCAAGGAGUUGAGGUGAAAGUCGGCCUCUUCAUGAAAGCCGACGCCAGGGGAUGAGCCUGCGGCCCAUCAGCUAGUUGGUAGGGUAAUGGCCUACCAAGGCAAAGACGGGUAGCUGGUCUGAGAGGAUGAUCAGCCACACUGGAACUGAGACACGGUCCAG
rnacentral:rRNA from 1 species